AUCCAGCUGAUGAGUCCCUAACAGGAUGAAACGUUUGUCCUGGAU
rfam:Schistosoma mansoni strain Puerto Rico chromosome 6, complete genome